rnacentral:rRNA from 1 species
CCUACGGGUGGCUGCAGUAAGGAAUAUUGGUCAAUGGGCGCGAGCCUGAACCAGCCAAGUCGCGUGAAGGAUGACGGCCCUACGGGUUGUAAACUUCGUUUAUAGAGUAAUAAAGUGAGGCACGUGUGCCUUUUUGUCUUUACUUUAUGAAUAAGGAUCGGCUAACUCCGUGCCAUCAGCCGCGGUAAGACGGAGGAUCCGAGCGUUAUCCGGAUUUAUUGGGUUUAAAGGGAGCGUAGAUGGGUUGUUAAGUCAGAUGUGAAAGUUUGCGGCUCAACCGUAAAAUGGCAAUUGAUACUGGCAGUCUGGAGUACAGAUGAGGUAGGCGGAAUUCGUGGUGUAGCGGUGAAAUGCUUAGAUAUCACGAAGAACUCCGAUGGCGAAGGCAGCUUACUAAACUGUAACUGACAUUGAUGCUCGAAAGUGUGGGUAUCAAACAGGAUUAGAUACCCUUGUAGUC